rnacentral:rRNA from 1 species
GACGAACGCUGGCGGCGUGCUUAACACAUGCAAGUCGAACGGAAAGGCCCUGCUUGUGUGGGGUGCUCGAGUGGCGAACGGGUGAGUAACCCGUGAGUAACCUGCCCUUGACUUUGGGAUAACUUCAGGAAACUUGGGCUAAUACCCGAUAUGAGCUCCUGCUGCAGGGUGGGGGUUGGAAAGUUUCGGGGGUUGGGGAUGGACUGGCGGCUUAUCAGCUUGUUGGUGGGGUAUUGGUUUACCAAGUUCUUGACGGGUAGGCGGCAUGAGAGGGGGGCCAGGGACCAGAGGACUGCGAGAGGGACCAGACUCGAACGGGAGGCAGCGGGGGGGAAUCUUAUACAAUGAGCCGAAGCCUGAUGCGGCAACGCCGGGUUCGGGAUGUGGGCUUGUGCGUAGCAAACCGCUUUCGGCUGUGACGAAGCGUGAGUGACGGUAAUGGGUAAAGAAGCACCGGCUAACUACGUG